GCUUCACGAGUCUUCUAGAUGUAAGAUAAUUGCGCGGCACGUUAAUAUCUCUAUGUAAUCCCGACGUGUGGGCCUUUCUUCCGUAUUUCCUGAUAACCCCCUACAGAAAUAGAGAAACACCAAAACUCGUGGAAUUCAGUCAGAUAAAACCCUAAGUCUGGGUGUUGGUUGCAUUUGGAUCCUUUUCUUUAUUUAUUUGAUGAUUAUAUUUGGUACUUAAGGACCGUCAACAACUCCCCCAAGCUUACCUCUUGCUCGUCCCUGAGCAAGGAUGAACUCAAGAGUUUCUACAGUGGUUUCAUGCCUUAAAAGUAAGAUCUCAUCUCUGAGUUAGAGUAAACUGUUUAGACAUAAAACUUACUUAUUUUACCUUUCACCAUGGGGCUUGUAAUAGUCACUUGUGUCUUGAGCAGUUAAAAGAUAGAACGGUCUAGUCAAGUGCCAUGUCUCUUAUUCUUGAUCAGCUAUAGCUCUGGAGUUUUUGCAGAUUUUCAAAUAAAACUCAGAGAUUCCUUGUAUGACUCUCAAUUCUCUCUUUUGUGGUAUUUCUGGAUCCUCACCAAGGCAGUGAUGAUAUAUGCCUUCUCUCAAAGUAUGUGGUAUUUUUGGUAUGAGGCAUAGUGAUAUUGCCUUCUCGCUCACCCUACUCUAAUAAGGUUUUGAUAUGUGGAGCUCAUAGGUGGGAGAUAGAUAAUACAUACUUACAUGACAUUUAUUGUAUAGUCAAACCAUGGAUCUAGAAGAACAAGUCAAUAAGUCAAAUCAACAUGUGCAUGUGUGGCGAAUGAAUGGUGUAUGGUGAUGAUGGUGAUAAUGGUGAAAGCAAUGGUGAUAGUUAAUUCUACGUUUGCUCUUUUGAGGGGAUACAUACCUUUCUUGCACUUUGAAUCUUUUUGAGGGGAAUGAGGUGCUCUAUAUUUUCUUUUUCUUUCUCUCUCAGGUGGGUAUCUUGUACCCCUAAUUCUACUGUCGGACACUUGUCCAUUUUUACCUCUCGUCUCACUUUUUCUUUUCUUUCGAGGUUCCGGGCACUUGCCCCUUUUUAUUUCCUCGUAUUUUUUCAUCUUUUUUUAGAGCACUCAUCUCCUGAAAUAAUAUAGCAAGUGGUAGUAACCAAGAUAACUCGAGCAUUUAUUCCACAGGGAAUAACAGGGAUAGGAUAAUGUUUUUGGCUAUUCUCUCCCGGAUUAGGAGUUGUCGGCGCCUAGACUCCUGGCCUAGACACUAACAAGUAUAAGUCUGCGUGAUUUUCCAAAUUUGGAUGGUGAUGCAAGUGAGACAUAGAGGAUUUAUACUGGUUCGGGCCAAGAAUGCCCUACGUCCAGUGUGUUUGGGGAUUCUGUAUAACCUUGCACCCAAUGGUGCUUGUAGUAGGGG
rnacentral:lncRNA from 1 species